AACAUCUUUUCUUGUUAGUUUCUGAAGUAUGGCCUGCCCGCUGACGUAUUUUGAGUUGAAGGGCCGCGGUAUUUUGACCGUGCAAAGGUAGCAUAGUCAUUAGUUCUUUAAUUGUGAUCUGGUAUGAAUGGCUUGACGAGACAUAGGCUGUCUUAGUGUGAAUUUAUUGUUGAAUUUGGAGUUUAAGUUAAAAUUCUUAGAUGUUUUUAUGGGACGAGAAGACCCUAUAGAGUUUUACAUUUGAUUGUGCAUUUCUUGUUGUUUGUUUUAGGUUUUUGCGUGUCUUUUGUUUUGUUGGGGUGAUGGGAGGAAUUUAUUUAACUCCUCUUUUUAUGUGAUAUAUUGAUUUAUGUUUGUUUUGAUCCAUUUAUUUUGAUUGUAAGACUAAAUUACCUUAGGGAUAACAGCGUUAUCCUCCCUGAGAGUUCUUAUUGGCGGGGGGGUUUGCGACCUCGAUGUUGGAUUAAGGUUUAUUUUU
rnacentral:rRNA from 1 species